rfam:Triticum urartu cultivar G1812 contig1192178, whole genome shotgun sequence.
AUACUACUUCCUCCGUCUUGAAAUACUUAUCGAAGAAAUGAAUAAAAAUGGAUGUAUCUAGAGCUAAAAUACGUCUAGAUACAUUUAUUUCUUUGACGAGUAUUUUCAGAUGGAGGGAGUAUACA